rnacentral:rRNA from 1 species
UACGUAGGUGGCGAGCGUUGUCCGGAAUUACUGGGUGUAAAGGGAGCGUAGGCGGGGGUGCAAGUUGAAUGUAUAAACUACCGGCUCAACCGGUAGAAGCGUUCAAAACUGCACUUCUUGAGUGAAGUAGAGGCAGGCGGAAUUCCUAGUGUAGCGGUGAAAUGCGUAGAUAUUAGGAGGAACACCAGUGGCGAAGGCGGCCUGCUGGGCUUUAACUGACGCUGAGGCUCGAAAGCGUGGGUAGCAAACAGG